AUACUUACCUGGACGGGGUCGACGGGCGAUCAAGGAGGCCCGUGGCCUAGAUCAAUGGCUAACAUUGCACUUGGUGAGCGCGUUGGUUUACCAUCUCCCCAAGUGGGAGAGUGGACGUCAUAAUUUGUGGUAGAGGGGGUACGCGUACGCGCGGCCCCUCC
rfam:Oryza glumipatula chromosome 1, whole genome shotgun sequence.